rnacentral:rRNA from 1 species
UACGUAGGGUGCAAGCGUUAAUCGGAAUUACUGGGCGUAAAGCGUGCGCAGGCGGCUUUGCAAGUCAGAUGUGAAAUCCCCGGGCUUAACCUGGGAACUGCAUUUGUGACUGCAUGGCUGGAGUGCGGCAGAGGGGGAUGGAAUUCCGCGUGUAGCAGUGAAAUGCGUAGAUAUGCGGAGGAACACCGAUGGCGAAGGCAGUCCCCUGGGCCUGCACUGACGCUCAUGCACGAAAGCGUGGGGAGCAAACAGG